rnacentral:lncRNA from 1 species
CUAGAGGGUUGGAAGCUAACAUAAUGAACAAUAGAGAGCAAAGAUUAUAAUUGGAUGUUUGUACUUAUUUCAAUAAUUUGCUUUAAAAAUUUUUAGAUACAAAAAGAGACUCUCACUAUUUUAUCAGAUCUCCCACACUCUCUGGGUAGGAAAAUGAAAAUCCAAAUGCGAUAAUUGAGUUUCUAGUGGGUGCUACGGUCUCACUGAUGUCGUGCACCUCAC